rnacentral:rRNA from 1 species
GAUGAACGCUGGCGGCGCGCCUAACACAUGCAAGUCGAACGAUUAAAGCACCUUCGGGUGUGUAUAAAGUGGCGAACGGCUGAGUAACACGUGGGCAACCUGCCCCUCUCAUUGGGAUAGCCACGGGAAACCGUGGAUAAUACCGAAUACUUCGGGACUUCCGCAUGGAAGGCUCGAGAAAGCUCCGGCGGAGAGGGAUGGGCCCGCGGCCUGUUAGCUUGUUGGUGGGGUAACGGCCUACCAAGGCAAUGAUGGGUAGCUGGGUUGAGAGACCGACCAGCCAGAUUGGGACUGAGACACGGCCCAGACUCCUACGGGAGGCAGCAGUGGGGAAUCUUGCACAAUAGGGCGGAAAGACCUCGAUGCAGCGACGCCGCGUGCGGGAGUGAAGGCCGUUCGGUU